rnacentral:pre_miRNA from 1 species
UCCUUUGCGUGGCCCCUUGUUCUGAGAGUACAUAAACAAGAAUGAGGUACUAUGCAAAGGAUU